GAUCCUGGCUCAGGAUGAACGCUGGUGGCGUGCUUAACACAUGCAAGUCGAACGAAGCACUUUAUUUGAUUUCCUUCGGGACUGAUUAUUUUGUUGACUGAGUGGCGGACGGGUGAGUAACGCGUGGGUAACCUGCCUUGUACAGGGGAUAACAGUUGGAAACGGCUGCUAAUACCGCAUAAGCGCACAGCAUCGCAUGAUGCAGUGUGAAAAACUCCGGUGGUAUAAGAUGGACCCG
rnacentral:rRNA from 1 species